CACUUCUAAGGAAGGCAGCAGGCGCGCAAAUUACCCAAUCCUGACUCAGGGAGGUAGUGACAAGAAAUAACAAUAAACCGGCUUAUGCCGGUUUAAUUGGAAUGAGUACAAUUUAAACAUCUUAACGAGGAACAAUUGGAGGGCAAGUCUGGUGCCAGCAGUCGCGGUAAUUCCAGCUCCAAUAGCGUAUACUAAAGUUGUUGCAGUUAAAAAGCUCGUAGUUGGAUUUCUGUGGGGACGGAGCGGCCGGCCACACAUCGCGGUUCGAGCUAGCGCUUUCCCUACAUCCUGCCGCGAACCGUGCUACCAUUAGUUUGGUGGCGCCGGGGAUCGGCUCGAUUACUUUGAGAAAAAUAGAGUGUUCAAAGCAGGCCACAUGCCUUGAAUAAGUUAGCAUGGAAUAAUAACUAAGGACUUCGGUUCUAUUUUGUUGGUGUUCGGGACUGAAGUAAUGAUUGAUAGGGACAGUUGGGGCGGUCUGUAUUCCAAAGCGAGAGGUGAAAUUCUUAGACCUUCGGAAGACAAACAGCUGCGAAAGCGUUCCGCAAGGAUGUUCCCUUCGAUCAAGAACGAAAGUUGGGGGAUCGAAGACGAUCAGAUACCGUCGUAGUCUCAACUAUAAACUAUACCAGCUAGGGAUCGGCCAACGUUAUUUUAUACCGACUUGGUCGGCACCUUAUGAGAAAUCAAAGCAUCUGGGUUCCGGGGGGAGUAUGGUCGCAAGGCUGAAACUUAAAGGAAUUGACGGAAGGGCACCACCAGCCGUGGAGCCUGUGGCUUAAUUUGACUCAACACGGGAAAACUUACCAGGUCCAGACAUAGUAAGGAUUGACAGAUUGAUAGCUCUUUCUUGAUUCUGAGGGUGGUGGUGCAUGGCCGUUCUUAGUUGGUGGGGUGAUUUGUCUGGUUAAUUCCGUUAACGAACGAGACCCCAGCCUGCUAAAUAGCGCGCGUGAGCUUUGCUCGCGGCGAGCUUCUUAGAGGGACUAUGAUGCGCGAUAGCACAUGGAAGUUUGGGGCAAUAACAGGUCUGUGAUGCCCUUAGAUGUUCUGGGCCGCACACGGGCUACACUGGCGCCUGCAACGAGCAUAUCAGCUGGCCCGAGAGGGUCUUGGCUAAUCUUUUGAACCGGCGCCGUGCUUGGGAUUGACCUUUGCAAUUGUUGGUCAUGCAACGAGGAAUGCCUUGUAAACGCGAGUCAUCAGCUCGCAUUGAAUACGUCCCUGCCCUUUGUACACACCGCCCGUCGCUCCUACCGAUGAAUGUUCCGAUGAAAUUUUCGGAGAGCACCUGUGAACUUGGCUCUGCCUUGCGAACGGGAGGCUCAAAGUCACUUAAAUCUGAACAUUUCGAGG
rnacentral:rRNA from 1 species